GGUCAAGCUACAAAGGGCUCACGGCGGAUACCUUGGCACACAGAGGCGAUGAAGGACGUGGUUACCUGCGAUAAGUCCCGGGGAGCUGGAAGCACGCUUUGAUCCGGGAAUUUCCGAAUGGGGCAACCCUUAAUACGGCCAGCUGAAUCCAUAGGCUGGCACGAGCCAACCCAGCG
rnacentral:rRNA from 1 species